UGGUUCUGGCAUCGAUGAAGAACGCAGCGAAAUGCGAUAAGUAAUGUGAAUUGCAGAAUUCAGUGAAUCAUCGAAUCUUUGAACGCACAUUGCGCCCCCUGGUAUUCCGGGGGGCAUGCCUGUUCGAGCGUCAUUUCAACCCUCAAGCCUGGCUUGGUGAUGGGGCGCUGCUCCGCGAGGAGCAGGCCCUGAAAUCUAGUGGCGGGCUCGCCGGGACCCCGAGCGCAGUAGUUAAACCCUCGCUCCGGAAGGCCCUGGCGGUGCCCUGCCGUUAAACCCCCAACUCUUGAAAAUUUGACCUCGGAUCAGGUAGGAAUACCCGCUGA
rnacentral:misc_RNA from 1 species